ACCAGACUCCUACGGGAGGCAGCAGUCGGGAAUAUUGCGCAAUGGAGGAAACUCUGACGCAGUGACGCCGCGUAUAGGAAGAAGGUUUUCGGAUUGUAAACUAUUGUCGUGAGGGAAGAAAUUGACAGUACCUCAGGAGGAAGCUCCGGCUAACUAUGUGCCAGCAGCCGCGGUAAUACGUAGGGAGCAAGCGUUAUCCGGAUUUACUGGGUGUAAAGGGCGUGUAGGCGGGCAUGCAAGCCAGAAGUGAAAUCUGGGGGCUUAACCCCCAAACUGCUUUUGGAACUGCGUGUCUUGAGUGGUGGAGAGGCAGGCGGAAUUCCCAGUGUAGCGGUGAAAUGCGUAGAUAUUGGGAGGAACACCAGUGGCGAAGGCGGCCUGCUGGACAUUAACUGACGCUGAGGCGCGAAAGCGUGGGGAGCAAACAGGAUUAGAUACCCGAGUAC
rnacentral:rRNA from 1 species